AUUUCGUGAUGAUACCAUUUUUGUAAUAAUUCUUUGAAUUUCUUCUACGCCUCAAACAAAGAUUCGUCAUCCAUUUGUUGAAAAUUCGUGAUCUCAUUCCGCAACU
rfam:Gossypium arboreum cultivar AKA8401 contig_7441_7, whole genome shotgun sequence.